CCUACGGGAGGCAGCAGUGAGGAAUAUUGGUCAAUGGACGAGAGUCUGAACCAGCCAAGUAGCGUGAAGGAUGACUGCCCUAUGGGUUGUAAACUUCUUUUAUAAAGGAAUAAAACGAGGCACGUGUGCCUUUUUGCAUGUACUUUAUGAAUAAGGAUCGGCUAACUCCGUGCCAGCAGCCGCGGUAAUACGGAGGAUCCGAGCGUUAUCCGGAUUUAUUGGGUUUAAAGGGUGCGUAGGCGGGCAUUUAAGCCGGCGGUCAAAUGUCGGGGCUCAACCCCGGCCUGCCGUCGGAACUGGGUGCCUUGAGUGGGCGAGAAGUAUGCGGAAUGCGUGGUGUAGCGGUGAAAUGCAUAGAUAUCACGCAGAACCCCGAUUGCGAAGGCAGCAUACCGGCGCCCUACUGACGCUGAGGCACGAAAGUGCGGGUAUCGAACAGGAUUAGAUACCCCAGUAGUC
rnacentral:rRNA from 1 species